rnacentral:rRNA from 1 species
UGGGGAAUAUUGGGCAAUGGGCGCAAGCCUGACCCAGCGACGCCGCGUGAGGGAUGAAGGUCUUCGGAUUGUAAACCUCUUUCAGUGGGGAAGAAGCGAAAGUGACGGUACCCAAAGAAGAAGCACCGGCUAACUAUGUGCCAGCAGCCGCGGUAAUACAUAGGGUGCAAGCGUUGUCCGGAAUUAUUGGGCGUAAAGAGCUCGUAGGUGGUUUAUCACGUCGGAUGUGAAAUUCUGAGGCUCAACCUCGGACCUGCAUUCGAUACGGGCAAACUAGAGUGUGGUAGGGGAGACUGGAAUUCCUGGUGUAGCGGUGGAAUGCGCAGAUAUCAGGAGGAACACCAAUGGCGAAGGCAGGUCUCUGGGCCAUUACUGACACUGAGGAGCGAAAGCGCGGGGAGCGAACAGGAUUAGAUACCCUGGUAGUCCGCGCCGUAAACGGUGGGCACUAGUUGUGGGAACCUUCCACGGUUUCCGCGACGCAGCUAACGCAUUAAGUGCCCCGCCUGGGGAGUACGAUCGCAAGAUUA